AGCGGUAUAGUGAAGUGGUUAACACGGGAGGUUUAAGCUAUUUCUCCUGCCGAAAGGCGUCGUGGGUUCGAACCCCACUGCCGCUA
rnacentral:tRNA from 1 species